UUUAAGUCUGAUGUGAAAUCUUGCGGCUCAACCGCAAGCGGCCAUUGGAAACUGGGAGGCUUGAGUACAGAAGAGGAGAGUGGAAUUCCACGUGUAGCGGUGAAAUGCGUAGAUAUGUGGAGGAACACCAGUGGCGAAGGCGACUCUCUGGUCUGUAACUGACGCUGAGGCGCGAAAGCGUGGGGAGCAAACAGGAUUAGAUACCCUGGUAGUCCACGCCGUAAACGAUGAGUGCUAGGUGUUAGGGGUUUCGAUGCCCGUAGUGCCGAAGUUAACACAUUAAGCACUCCGCCUGGGGAGUACGGCCGCAAGGCUGAAACUCAAAGGAAUUGACGGGGGCCCGCACAAGCAGUGGAGCAUGUGGUUUAAUUCGAAGCAACGCGAAGAACCUUACCAGGUCUUGACAUCCUUUGACCACUCUGGAGACAGAGCUUCCCCUUCGGGGGCAAAGUGACAGGUGGUGCAUGGUUGUCGUCAGCUCGUGUCGUGAGAUGUUGGGUUAAGUCCCGCAACGAGCGCAACCCUUGACCUUAGUUGCCAGCAUUUAGUUGGGCACUCUAAGGUGACUGCCGGUGACAAACCGGAGGAAGGUGGGGAUGACGUCAAAUCAUCAUGCCCCUUAUGACCUGGGCUACACACGUGCUACAAUGGAUGGUACAAAGGGUUGCGAAGCCGCGAGGUGGAGCCAAUCCCAUAAAGCCAUUCUCAGUUCGGAUUGUAGGCUGCAACUA
rnacentral:rRNA from 1 species